CGGGUGCGUAACGCGCAUAGAACCUACCUUUUACAGAGGAAUAGCCUUUAGAAAUGAAGAUUAAUGCCUCAUGGUAUUGUAGACUGGCAUCAGUUUAUAAUUAAAGAUUUAUCGGUAAAAGAUGGCUAUGCGUCCUAUUAGUUAGUUGGUAAGGUAACGGCUUACCAAGACAGCGAUAGGUAGGGGUCCUGAGAGGGAGAUCCCCCACACUGGUACUGAGACACGGACCAGACUCCUACGGGAGGCAGCAGUGAGGAAUAUUGGACAAUGGAGGAGACUCUGAUCCAGCCAUGCCGCGUGUAGGAAGAAUGCCCUAUGGGUUGUAAACUACUUUUAUACAGGAAGAAACACUGGUAUGUAUACCAGCUUGACGGUACUGUAAGAAUAAGGACCGG
rnacentral:rRNA from 1 species